rnacentral:rRNA from 1 species
UAGGGAAUCUUCGGCAAUGGACGAAAGUCUGACCGAGCAACGCCGCGUGAGCGAUGAAGGCCUUCGGGUCGUAAAGCUCUGUUGUUAGGGAAGAACAAGUACCGUUCGAAUAGGGCGGUACCUUGACGGUACCUAACCAGAAAGCCACGGCUAACUACGUGCCAGCAGCCGCGGUAAUACGUAGGUGGCAAGCGUUGUCCGGAAUUAUUGGGCGUAAAGCGCGCGCAGGCGGUCUCUUAAGUCUGAUGUGAAAGCCCACGGCUCAACCGUGGAGAGCCAUUGGAAACUGGGGGACUUGAGUACUGGAGAGGAGAGUGGAAUUCCAUGUGUAGCGGUGAAAUGCGUAGAUAUAUGGAGGAACACCAGUGGCGAAGGCGGCGUCUCUGGCCAGUAACUGACGCUGAGGCGCGAAAGCGUGGGAGGCAAACAGGAUUAGAUACCCUGGUAGUCCACGCCGUAAACGAUGAGUGCUAGGUGUU